GGCGCCGAGGAGGACGUUCGCGGAGAAGCUGCCCGAGGAGAAUAAGGACCACGCCCAGGGGAGGGGCCACGGGCACCCGAAAGCGCUAGCCUCUUAUGGCGGCCGCCUGAGGAACUGCAGGCACCUGCUCGGCGUCGCCUGGGACCUCCCCAGGCCGCUGGCGACUCCAGCCUCCGCGCCCAGCGUCCUGAGGCCGCGGUUGGGCGGCCCGGACUGAGGCCCGGAGUACCCAGCUCCGGCUUGGGCUACCGGCCGCUGCCCUUCAUAGAGCUGCGGGAAAUUUUUAGUUUUUUGAUUGAUCUGUCCGUUUCCGAGAUGCACCCAAGUACCCUUCUGGACCACAACCGGGAUCAGAGUGAAGCGGUAGCCUCGGACAAAAUUUACAGGGACGCCCAAAAAACUCAGUAAUUGAGAUAAAUAAUAUUUUCAGGCAAUAUUUUUGAGAACAAAAGUUUAUACUAAAAAAAUGAUGAAUAAGACACAGUUGACCCUUGGAAAACAUAGGCUUGAACCAUGUCGGUCCACCUAUACAGAGAUUUCUUUUUGAUACAGUGCUUUAAAUGUAUUUUCCUUAGGGUAUUCUUAACAUUUUCUUUAGCUUACUUUAAGAGUACAGUAUAUAAUACAUGUCACAUACAAAAUAUGUAUCAGCUGUUUAUGGUACUGGUAAGGCUUCUGGUCAAGGGUAGGCUAUUAGUCAAGUUUGGGGAGAGUCAAAAGUUAUGUGGGGAUUUUCCUCUAGGGGAGGGUGAAGUAGGGCUCCUUACUCCUAGGGUGUUCAAAGGUCAGCCUUCCUACAAUUAAAAAAAAAAAACCCAAAAUUUGACCCUGCACUUGCAUGACAGGUCUAAAUGUACCUUCUUGAUGAACUGAUACUUUUUAUCCUUCUGUAAAAUUCCUUUAGUCCUACUGCAAGUUUUUGCCUAAAUUCUACUUUUCUACUAUUAAUAUUGUGACACUAACCUUUUGGCUAAAUUUACUUAUUCGCCUUAUUUUUUUGUUUUCUUUUUAUCAUCCUCCCCCCCCCCUUCCUUCAUUGGAUUGAUAAGUUUUCUUUAUUUAUUUUGUUUUUUUUACUGAAAAUUUAGCUUGGGUUAGGUCAAGGAAAAACUCCCUUGGGAAAAUAUCGACACUAUCUCAAACGUUUUUGAGUUUGAAUGGUUUGAAUAAACUCAUCAUUUUACUAAUGAAAGUGAUAGGUCAAUAAAACUCCAUAAGCAUUUGUGUAGUA